rnacentral:rRNA from 1 species
AUGGCUCAGGACGAACGCUGGCGGCGUGCCUAAUACAUGCAAGUCGAACGGUCUUUCUAUGGAAGCUUGCUUCCACUGAGAAGAUAGUGGCGAACGGGUGAGUAACACGUGGGUAACCUGCCCAUAAGAGGGGGGAUAACAUCCGGAAACGGGUGCUAAUACCGCAUAGUUUUCUUGAUUGCAUGAUCGGGAAAGGAAAGACGGCCUUUGUGCUGUCGCUUAUGGAUGGACCCGCGGCGUAUUAGUUAGUUGGUGAGGUAACGGCUCACCAAGACGAUGAUACGUAGCCGACCUGAGAGGGUGAUCGGCCACAUUGGGACUGAGACACGGCCCAAACUCCUACGGGAGGCAGCAGUAGGGAAUCUUCCGCAAUGGACGAAAGUCUGACGGAGCAACGCCGCGUGAGUGAAGAAAGGUUUUCGGAUCGUAAAACUCUGUUGUCAGAGAAGAACAAGUUGGAGAGUAACUGCUCCAGCCUUGACGGUAUCUGACCAGAAAGCCACGGCUAACUACGUGCCAGCAGCGGC